rnacentral:rRNA from 1 species
GAUCAUUACCGAGUGCGGGCCCUCGCGGCCCAACCUCCCACCCUUGUCUCUCUACACCUGUUGCUUUGGCGGGCCCACUGGGGCUCCCUGGUCGCCGGGGGACACCCGUCCCCGGGCCCGCGCCCGCCGAAGCGCUUCGUGAACCCUGAUGAAGAAGGGCUGUCUGAGUACUAUGAAAAUUGUCAAAACUUUCAACAAUGGAUCUCUUGGUUCCGGCAUCGAUGAAGAACGCAGCGAAAUGCGAUAAGUAAUGUGAAUUGCAGAAUUCCGUGAAUCAUCGAAUCUUUGAACGCACAUUGCGCCCCCUGGCAUUCCGGGGGGCAUGCCUGUCCGAGCGUCAUUUCUGCCCUCAAGCACGGCUUGUGUGUUGGGUGUGGUCCCCCCGGGGACCUGCCCGAAAGGCAGCGGCGACGUCCGUCUGGUCCUCGAGCGUAUGGGGCUCUGUCACUCGCUCGGGAAGGACCUGCGGGGGUUGGUCACCACCACAUUUUCCAUUAUGGUUGACCUCGGAUCAGGUAGGAGUUACCCGCUGAACUUAAGCAUAUCAAUAAGCGGAGGAAAAGAAACCAACCGGGAUUGCCUCAGUAACGGCGAGUGAAGCGGCAAGAGCUCAAAUUUGAAAUCUGGCCCUUUCAGGGUCCGAGUUGUAAUUUGCAGAGGAUGCUUCGGGUGCGGUCCCCAUCUAAGUGCCCUGGAACGGGCCGUCAUAGAGGGUGAGAAUCCCGUCUGGGAUGGGCGGCCGUGCCCGUGUGAAGCUCCUUCGACGAGUCGAGUUGUUUGGGAAUGCAGCUCUAAGUGGGUGGUAAAUUUCAUCUAAAGCUAAAUACUGGCCGGAGACCGAUAGCGCACAAGUAGAGUGAUCGAAAGAUGAAAAGCACUUUGAAAAGAGAGUUAAACAGCACGUGAAAUUGUUGAAAGGGAAGCGUUGUCCACCAGACUCGCCCGGGGGGGUUCAGCCGGCACGUGUGCCGGUGUACUCCUCUCCGGGCGGGCCAGCAUCGGUUUGGGCGGCUGGUGAAAGGCCCCGGGAAUGUAGCACCCUUCGGGGUGCCUUAUAGCCCGGGGUGCCAUACAGCCAGCCUGGACCGAGGCCCGCGCU